rnacentral:rRNA from 1 species
AGAGUUUGAUCAUGGCUCAGGGUGAACGCUGGCGGCGUGCUUAACACAUGCAAGUCGCGCGGGGAAACCCCUUCGGGGGGAGUACCAGCGGCGCACGGGUGAGUAACACGUGGGUAACCUACCCCUCAGCGGGGGAUAACCGGGGGAAACUCCGGCUAAUACCCCAUAUUAUCCGGUGACGACAGUUGCUGGAUGAAAGGAGCGUUUGCUUCGUUGAGGGAUGGGCCCGCGGCCCAUCAGGUAGUUGGUGAGGUAAUGGCUCACCAAGCCUACGACGGGUAGCCGACCUGAGAGGGUGACCGGCCACAAGGGCACUGAGACACGGGCCCUACUCCUACGGGAGGCAGCAGUGGGGAAUUUUGGACAAUGGGCGAAAGCCUGAUCCAGCGACGCCGCGUGAGGGACGAAGCCCUUCGGGGUGUAAACCUCUGUUGUGAGGGACGAAUAAGAUCUGGAGGAAAUGCCAGAUCGAUGACGGUACCUCACGAGAAAGCCCCGGCUAACUACGUGCCAGCAGCCGCGGUAAUACGUAGGGGGCGAGCGUUACCCGGAUUCACUGGGCGUAAAGGGGGCGCAGGCGAUCCAGUAUGUCGGGUGUGAAAUCCCACAGCUCAACUGUGGAAUUGCGCCCGAAACUACUGGGUUUGGGGCUGGUAGAGGGAGACGGAACUGCUGGUGUAGGGGUGAAAUCCGUAGAUAUCAGCAGGAACGCCGGUGGGGAAGCCGGUCUCCUGGGCCAAGCCCGACGCUGAGGCCCGAAAGCUAGGGGAGCAAACCGGAUUAGAUACCCGGGUAGUCCUAGCCGUAAACGAUGCCCACUAGGUGUGGGGGAGUCAUUCCUCCGUGCUGUAGCUAACGCGUUAAGUGGGCCGCCUGGGGAGUACGCCCGCAAGGGUGAAACUCAAAUGAAUUGACGG